CGAACGCUGGCGGCGUGCUUAACACAUGCAAGUCGAACGGAAAGGCCUCUUUCGGGGGGUACUCGAGUGGCGAACGGGUGAGUAACACGUGAGUAACCUGCCCUUGACUUUGGGAUAACUUCAGGAAACUGGGGCUAAUACCGGAUAGGAGCUCCUGCUGCAUGGUGGGGGUUGGAAAGUUUCGGCGGUUGGGGAUGGACUCGCGGCUUAUCAGCUUGUUGGUGGGGUAGUGGCUUACCAAGGCUUUGACGGGUAGCCGGCCUGAGAGGGUGACCAGCCACAUUGGGACUGAGAUACGGCCCAGACUCCUACGGGAGGCAGCAGUGGGGAAUAUUGCACAAUGGGUGGAAGCCUGAUGCAGCAACGCCGUGUGCGGGAUGACGGCCUUCGGGUUGUAAACCGCUUUCGCUCAUGACGAAGCUUUGUGUGACGGUAGUGGGUAAAGAAGCACCGGCUAACUACGUG
rnacentral:rRNA from 1 species